rnacentral:misc_RNA from 1 species
CCAAUCCCUGUGCAGCCUGGGCUCAUACCUAGGCUGGAUAGGCUUGAUACUGCCCCUGUAUUUUGCGCACUCAUGUUUCCUUGGUGGGCUUGCCUGCCAAAAGGACUAUACCAUAACCUCUUUAAUCUUGUAUCAACGUCUGAAUAAUAUAAUUAUUA